GCCGGUUUAAUUUAAACAGAAAAAAUAAAGGGUUCCAAACUCUUCGUUAAAAGUUAGAGUCUUUUAACCGGUA
rfam:Theileria equi strain WA gcontig_1105316255047 apicoplast, whole genome shotgun sequence.